UAUAUAAAAGUUAACCCCUUUUGCUCCAAGGAGAGCGUUUUUGGUCAUGUUCACGUAGCUAUUUUAUCCAAUCAAACCGUGCCACGAUAGAGAUUUUUACUGUAGAUGGAGACCGGUAACUGUAGAUCAUUUAUCUCUGGGAUUUGUUUCUCCUUUUUUUCCGCGUGAGAAAUCCGUGAUGACCGGCUCCUUCCCGGUAUUCCCACUUUAUAGCUUCCGGUAAUCGCUCUCUCUCCUCCUUUUGUUCACCUUCAGUUACCGGUCAACCGGUUUAUUUCCCACGAUGGAUUGGUCAAAGCGGUGUUGCCAUCUCCAGAACAAUCCAGGUCCUCUUCCUUGCCAAUCCCCACCGCUGCUCUCUUCCUCCCCAAUUCUCAUCGCUCAAGUUCCAAAAAAAAAAUCCCAUCGCUGCCACUCGAGUGCUCCACCCGGUGGGGCGGCGUCCCAUCUCCCUCCAUGGCUGCCGUGUCUGUACCGACGUAUCAAGGUUGAACAUCCCCAGGACGAGCUCCUAUGUGCCUUGGCCCUGCUGUGUCUAGACAGCUGCAGCUCCCCACGACCUCGCCGGUUCGUCCGAUCUAUGCCUGCUCGGCAUGUAGCAACACAACCUUCUUCCCCCACUCCUCGGGCGCCAUCGCCGUCGACGCAUACUGUACCAAGAGUCACACAGGGUGCGCUGGGUUCAUCCCGCUCCUUCGAGCUGGGGAACACCCACAGGUUGAGGUGGCAUGGCUCCGCCAUCACCAUCGUCAGCCAGGUACACUUCAUCGGCCGUCGGUGCACUAUCAUCGGUUCAGAGGAGGAUAGGCGGAGCCUGGCAGGAUCAAGAUGCUUUCUGCGGUGGUGUAUCAUCUGUGCCAUCCUCUUCUGGAUUGUUUUCUUCAUUUGUUCCUUACUUUUCUCUACGGGUUUAUCAGUUUGUUGCUUUCUGCUCCCUAAAGAAGAUUUUACUUUGUGAUGUAGGCCAUUGGUGUUUCUCAGCGGCACCUAGCUAUUGUUAGUCCAGCGCCAUAGCGCUCUGCCAUCAAGCUGGGUAUCCGAUGAGUGCAGGUCAUCUUUACAGGCCAUCAGUGCUGAAGACACACCCUACUAUCCAAUAUUUGAUUACCCCUACAUGGAAGCAGAUGUGAAGCUAACCCAAUUUAAUAACUGUUUUUUCAAUAGGAAUCCAGAUCGUGGAAAAAUUAUAUCCUUUUCUUCCCAAGAUCACUGCAAUUCAGCUCCGUACAUGAUAGCCUGUAUUUUGUGUGCUAAUUAUGUUGUUCCAUUAUAGAUGCCUAAUUCUGCUACCUGACAAACACAGUCAAAGUAGCUCUUAUUUGAUCCACUCUCCUAGCAUCAGAGGAAAAGAUAAUCUUGCAACAUUACUAUAUAUCAAAUGCCAAUAUCAGUAACUGUGCAAAAAUAAAACAGAAAGCAGUAGACAGGAAGUUCUUUUAUAAGAUAUUACAGGGAAACACAAUGAAGGAAUAUGUCCCAACCAAGAGCUUUCACCAACAAAGAGAACAACUGAAGGAAAGAACAACUUAUACAUUUGGGGAUGUUCACUUUUUCUCACAUGUUCUCACUUCUCUGCUUUGCUUUGAAGACAAAUAUUGAUGACUUGCCAUUUGAUCAGUGUGUUGGAUACUUUAGUUCAUACUAAGGGAGCUUAUUGCGUGUUCAGCGACAGCCGACUGUACCUAAUCCUAUCAAG